rnacentral:tRNA from 1 species
GCGGGAAUAGCUCACAGAGCACGACCCGCUGGCACGUGGCCGCGAGUUCGAGCGCCCGUUUCCCGCC